UACAGAGGGUGCGAGCGUUAAUCGGAAUUACUGGGCGUAAAGCGUGCGUAGACGGUAGCGUAAGUCAGAUGUGAAAGCCCCGGGCUCAACCUAGGAACUGCAUUUGAGACUGCUCUGCUCGGGUGCGGAAGAGGGAAGCGGAAUUUCCGGUGUAGCGGUGAAAUGCGUAGAUAUCGGAAGGAACACCAGUGGCGAAAGCGGCUUCCUGGUCCGACACCGACGUUCAGGCACGAAAGCGCGGGGAGCGAACAGG
rnacentral:rRNA from 1 species